GCUCCGGCGUCGGGAUCGUCGCAGCUUCAGCAGCCGCGUCUGGAGACGGUGGCAGGGCGUCGCGGGUCGCUGGCGUCGGGUCGCGUGGAGUGGGAGCAGCGGCAGCGUCUCGUCGUCAAGGCAACAGGGGCGGCAACCGGCGCAGCAAAGGCCGGCAGGUGGAACGGCGAUGGGAGACUCGGAGAAGAUGAUGAACAGGAGCCCUUUUUUUUCUUUUUUUUUUCUUUUUUUCUCCCCCUCUCUCUCCUCUGCCGCACGUCCUUUCCUCUCUGCUUUUUCCUACUUUUCCC
rnacentral:lncRNA from 1 species